UUUCAUGCAUUUGGUCACUGGUGAGGCCAAUUCCUUGAGCAGCCUAUUUGCAGAACUGGUUCUUUGAGCUCCACUCUGCUCCACCAGCCAGGCCCCUACGUGGCAGGAGUAAUGUACCCGGCAAGGUAACAAGGAAUACAGGCCUUUCAUUGGUUCCCUACGACGUAACUUUACGGCGGAUUUGACGUGAGUAGCAGAGCUGAGCCUCGGCUGGGUUUUCCAGCUCCGCAUUUCAUCCCUUCCUGGAUACCUUGCUGAACACGCUGUUUCCUCUGGGACUACGACACUUUGAUUUCCCUUGUACAGUUCCUUCUGGAAGCUGAAGAUGAGCAGGUCCCCACUCACGAGUGCCUGCCUAGCGUCUCUGGGAGUCAGCCCGCUCAUCUCAGGGUUACUUGAGAGGGACACAUGGAGAAGCAUCUUUCAGUUGGAAAAGCAUGAUCGACGUCUACUCAUCAAGCUCCGCAAUAAUGGUGACUAUGUGUUCCUCAUCCUCAUCACGUUGCUCAGAUGUUCUCUUUAUCAAGAUUCUCCUGAUCACCAGUGACAUCUUUCUCCUCUUAGACUCCAGGCAAUAGACAGAUCGACCUCUAAGGCACCCAUCCAUGACACCUCUGUGACUGAAUGUCAAUACCCUUCUCCUUUUUAAUUCCUGGAAGUGACUUUAUGAGCCCUGGGCUCACAGGCUGCCACUCUGAAGGUGGCCAGUUUCAUUCUGCUCCUCUUUCACUAUCAUUUCUGUUCAGGAUCAUUUUUCUGUUUCAACUGUCAUCUUGAUGAAGUGGAGCAAAAGCAGUUCCUCUUCCCGAGGCUUCAGAUCAAAUUUCCAGAGAGAAAAAGCCAGGACAAAGGGCACUUGGAUAAGUAUGUACCUGUUUACACUAAAAAUCAACUUCUCACUAGGCUUAAGGUGAAGGAGGUGACACCGCCUGCAUCCCACAUAUCCCCCAGGGGCAGAGGCGGGACUCACAGCCUUGUAACAGAUCUUCCAGAGAGACACCUCCAUAAAUCCUUUUUUUCUUCACUCUGACAACUGUUCUUAUAAUUGGUUUGGCUGAUGUAAUAUGUGUGCAUU